rnacentral:rRNA from 1 species
GACGAACGCUGGCGGCGUGCCUAAUACAUGCAAGUCGAGCGGACAAAAGGGAGCUUGCUCCCGGAUGUUAGCGGCGGACGGGUGAGUAACACGUGGGUAACCUGCCUGUAAGACUGGGAUAACUCCGGGAAACCGGAGCUAAUACCGGACAGUUCCUUGAACCGCAUGGUUCAAGGAUGAAAGACGGUUUCGGCUGUCACUUACAGAUGGACCCGCGGCGCAUUAGCUAGUUGGUGAGGUAACGGCUCACCAAGGCGACGAUGCGUAGCCGACCUGAGAGGGUGAUCGGCCACACUGGGACUGAGACACGGCCCAG